GAUAAUCCAAUUUAGUGGCGAGUCAUUGUAGUUCCCCUCCGCACCCGCAGGGGGUCGUCGUGUCAGCAGCGACCGGUGAGGACACUCGUAUUACCGUAGAAGAAACUGCAUGUUUUCAUAGCAACAGCAGCAUGGCUAAACGCAAGUACGACAGCGAGUACAUUAAAUAUGGAUUUUCCUACAUCGAAGACAAAGGAGUCCAAAAACCUCAGUGUAUUUUGUGUUGUGAGGUACUGGCAAGUGAAAGCAUGAAGCCAUCCAAACUGAAGCGUCAUUUGGAAACGAAGCACUCAUCGCAGAGUCAAAAACCUGUUGAUUACUUUCGCAGACGGCUUCAGGAUUUAAAAACAUCGCUGCGAUGACAAGACAAUGACGAAAACAAUAAGCACGCAUCUGAAUAAACUUUUCGAGCGGUUUAGCGACUACUUUCCCGAUAAACAACCCGAGGACGACUGGGUGCGCGACCCGUUUGGAAUAAACAUGGAAAGCAUCACGUUGCCUAGCAGCGAUGAAUGUCAGCUGGUGGAGCUAUCAUGUGACCGCACUCUCAGAAAGAAAUUCACAGAGGAUUACCACAGACCUGACUGUGAACACCGUCGACACCCACCUCAGGGAGACGCUGCCUAAGAUCUCAAGGCUGCCUGGUCGUGGUCUUUCUGGCACGUACUCUUCCAAGAUGAGCCGGGAAGUUUAACACUGAUGGAAUGACACCAGGUCUAAGCCGACAAACUUCCAAUUCCUCCUCAACCCAUAGUCUCUGGGAAACCUACAUGGAGUAAGAAAAGUAGACAGAGAAGUAAUUAAGUCUGUACACAACAUAUUAAAAAGAAAUCAUGCUAAUAAAUUAAGUACAAAGAACCGAAUUCGCCAAUAUACUGGAGACCAGAGCUAUUUAAUUUGAUAAGUAUAACCUUGUUUAGUAACAUUUCAAUUAUUUGAGAGCAGUCCUAAAGAACUGCCUGUAAUCCCAAUCAUAAAAUGGGUUUGGAGGAAGAACAUAGACGGUAAUCUGGAUAUACAUGAGUUAGGCUUCAUCAGUACUAUUGGUUGUAUUGGUGGUAGUAAUAGCAAUGUGACUACUACUAGUAGUAGUGGUAGGACACUACUGCUGCUGAUACUGGCAAUGCUACUACAACUUGUAAUACUAUUACAAAUGCUGAUACUACUUCUACGACUAACAGCUGUUUAUACUACUACUGCUGCUUGUACUUUUAGUAUUACUACUACUGCUUGUACAACUAUACUACAGCUACUAUUAAUCGUCUGGUAUUUGGUUGUCAAGCUGCUAGCUCGCCUUAGCGUUUUGCUAGUGGCUAACUAGUUAGCUCUCAUAGACUGGAAGCUCUCAACAAGAUUUCAUAAUGAAAAAAGAGCCAAAAACUAUUCUUACCUAUGAAAAGUCAUUCCAAGUUUCCUUGUCUCAAUCGUACGACGUAGUGUGUAACUGUAUGCAGCACAGUGAGCCGGCAUACUUAUUGUUUCCGUUUUCAUGCUGUCUACAUCAACAGAAUGCACUGAAACUUUGCCCCCACUAGCUUAGCCUCGCCGUUGUACGCAGCUCAAAGGGGCGUGUCCUAUCUACUCAUUCAUAUCUAUGAGAACAACGAUGGCUGCACAUAAGGACGUUGAUUAGCUGCGUAAAUACCAUUAUAUACAGUCUAUGGUAAAUACGUAUGUGAAUCGCAUGAUUGGCUGCAGCAGCCAGUCACCGGUAACUCACUGACUCACAUUGAAAGAUAGCACAGAAUGAAUUGUUACGUGUUUAUUUUAUUUACAAUUCAGGUUGGAUUUUUUUGUGUGUGCGCAGUGCAGAUUUUCUGUGCGCGGAGACCGUGUCAGCAGUGCGCAAUUGCGCACGCGCGCAGUUUAGAGGGAACAGUGCCUCUGUCUAUUUCAUGCAUUAGACAAUAUCAUGAGACGCAAUAUUACUGCUUGAAGUUCUAAUUAAAAGGGGAAUUAAACAAGCUGCAGAGAAAUGAUUAUUUAGCAAGGGAACACAGGAUUCAAAGAUUAUCUGACGUGGAUAAGAUGCUUUAAAUGAAAAAUUAACAAGUUAAAGAGAUAAUUAUUCAUAUUCACUUGAGCCAAGUGCUGUUUUUUCAACCUUCUCAUGUGUGCUGUAUUUGAAUUUUUUUAAUUUAAUUUUAGUCAUAUCUGAAAGGAGUUAUUAAAUUGAUGAGGAUCACUCAAAAAAGCAUUUUUGUGCAUGUAACAUGUCCAGGAAAAGUAUAAAUCACCAAAAUCUCACAUAUAAUAUGAUUAACUUCUGUUCAUCAGGCGUCAUUGUACAGUACUACCCCCAUGUGGUCAUAAUGUAUUAAUACAGGGAUGUUUUCUUUAAAAAAGAAAGAAAGAAAAAAGACUUAGCAAAACCAUUUUUUAAAAAUAUUACAAUUUAUUUUCACACUGCAUUUGAUAUUUUAAUCACUGGAAAUUGUGCACAAGAGCAUCAGCAGGAAGAAAACAGUCGUAUUUACACAAGAACAAAUUUCAAAAUAAGACAACUACAAUUAGAGGGAUAAUUAUAGGCAGCCAAUCUGAUUCAUUAUGAAUUAGGACUACUUACACCUCGUUGUUUGAUCAAUAGGACUGAAAACCAUUUUCUUACUGGUAAGUAAUCCAUUUUAGUCUUCUGUAUUGAAUUGUGUUGUCAGGCAAUGGGAGGAAAACUCAUUUAAAUGAGCAAAAAAGUAGAUUUUUCAGUGCAAUUAUUUUAGUUCCAUUGGCUUCAGCAUCGAGUUCUACCUCCAAUACACAAACUGGAGCAGCAGGUGUUUUUCAGACACACUUAAAGGAUACAGUAGCUCAUGAUGAAUUGUUUACCUGACCUUUUUUAAUGAGGGAUAGUCCACAUUUAUCAGGUAGCGACUCCACAGUCUCUAUACAGUCGAGGAUUUAUUACAGGCACUGAUAAUAACACCUCUGACUAUGGAGAAAAUCCAUCCCAUAGGUUCUGUGCAGUCCAUCGACACCAAGAUAUCCAAGGCAUUAGAAGGAAUGAUAUCAAACUCUAUCACUGAUAGAGAAGACGCAACAGUAAAUAAUCAAAAACCGAAGAAGAAAUAAAUAAAUAGUAGCAUUUUUGGACAUAUUUAAAGAGACUGAAUGAGAACUGACAUCAUUUGGUUGAAGAAACACAUAUGUCAGGGUAGGAUGCUUUCACAAAGUGUGCAAUUUCAACUGUAUUUUAUUAAUUAGCAACAACAAGGUGCUUGAUUCCAUAAACAUGAAUGAUUUACGUUCACAUUAUUCAGGUCUCAUUAAAAUCUUGAAUUAGGACAAUAGUUUCCUUGCCGUCGGAGCUGCAAUUCACUCUUAAAAGUGUUGUACAGCUACCAAAGUCUACAGAAGGAAAUACUCAGAGGGUCGAAUCCUGGAAGUGAGAAAAUGUUUGCGAGAUGCAAGUCGGAGAAGGCAGAUGGGAUCGUGCUGACAGCAAAGUAAAACCUUUCAGCAGCUAAAACUCCCACUUAAAGCCACAGAUGCGUUAAGGAAACUGUAUCAGCCAGAGAAUCUAGAAACCCAGCGGACGGCUGACAACACAUCACCGACAGGCAGGAAAAAACUGUUCAUCUCAGGCUGAAAUGUUGACACUGACACAAGUCCUGGAAAGACUGAGACACCUGUAUUAUUAGAUGUUUUUGUCAGCCAGUUCAGCUCAGGUUUUAACAAGAUGAAUUGUACUGCCUUACAAAAUUAAAAAAGCAAUAACAACAGUAGCUCAAACUGAGUUAAUAUCACAAUUUAUCUUUGUGACCCCUGCUUUACCAGCUAUCAAAUCAAUACCAGUUGUGAGGAACUAAUAAUCAGGCACUGACUCUAUACUACCUAGUUAAAGCUAGCUAGCUCAUUUACCACCUACUUCAUACUGUUGGGAAAUAUUCUUAAUCACAGCUCAGUUUAACUACGUAAUCAAUUACAUUACUAUUGUGUUAAACAUAAAUGUGUGACAUUUACGACCUUAGGAGUGUGGGCCUGAAUCUAACGGAACUGCUGCAGAGAGCAGUUUCUGCUUUCGGUGAUAGAGUGUACAGACAACUCCCUCGACAUCCACUUCUUUAAACUAUAGCACAGCAGCUUUACCUAAAAUAUGAACAAGCUUACAUGCCAUUAGUCACGUACAAACAUGUACCUUUAUGAAAUAAAUACAUCCAUGUACAUGCUCUUUUAAUUUGCCAAUGCUUAUUAAAUAUUCUUAAAGGACAAUUGGGACUCUAGACUCUUCUAUAAGCAAAUAAACGGAUGCGCUGACAGUACCAAUAAAUUACAAUUUGAUGAGCCAGUAUUUGAGCAAUCCAGUUUGCUUAUCAAUAAGGCAGCAGCUACUUUUAUCAUAACAGACGAAAAAGUGGCAGCUAAACUUGCCCUGCUAGCUAACUCACUGUAGGAUAACUAGCUUAGCUUUGCAGUAAGUUCAAUAUUAUCCUCUGAAACUUGGUGAAUUUACAUGAUCCGAGAUGGUUAUUCACAUGCUGUGAAUUUCACACAAUUAAAUCUAUAAAAUUAUAGAUUAGUUAAAUAGUUUUAAGGCGUAUCAAAAUGUUACACAACUUGAGUUAUCAAAUAAGUCGUUCAGAUCAGAUUUUUAAAUUAGUUUUUCCUCAACCGUUACCUUUUAUUGAAAUAAGACUGGAUGUUUUAGUAGCUUUGUAAUUCAGUUUUAUCAUAACUGAGAAAAAAAAGUAGCAGCUAAAUUAGUCCUGUUAGCUAACAAUUUAGGCUAACUAGCCUAGCUUAGCAGUAAGUUCUGUAUUAGCCUCUGACACUAGGUGAUUUUACAUAACUUGGCUACCUUUAAUGUAUAUCACAUACAUCAUAUUUUAAUGUAUGGAAUUAUAGAAUAAUAAGUGAAAUGUUUUCACAAUUCAUCAAACUGUUAGGGUUUACCAAGUAGCUUUCAAAUUUCAAGCUGUUCACCAUCCAUCUCUGUCAGUGCUCUUUGCUUUUGUAAGGCAGUACAUACUGUAGAAAUACUGUUGUUCAGCUGUGAUAUAUAUGUUUUAGUAGAAACAUGCAGCUUUGGAAAUAAUUAUUAGAUCACCCAUCUACCUGUCUACACAACUGGUCUUCAACUUUGGCCAUGUUGUUUGGAUUGUAUUAUAAAGUCUUAUAAAAGUCUAAUUGUUUAAUACUUGCAAUAAAUUAUGUUCAAAAAUGUGAUGCAUUGAAACUGUAAACAUUUCAAAACUCACCAUAGAUGGCCAAAAAAAUGUGUGGAGUCACCACUAUUUUGUGUUGUAUGCAAGUAAAUUCAACAAAUAAUCCACAUUUCAUUAACAUCCUAGGAUGCCUAAAAGAAGAGAAUCGCAAGAUGAUGAAAAGACAUUUUAAUUUCUGGUGCUUAGUGAAGAGGAACACAGCGAGUGAGCCAGUUGCUAAGUGGCAGCGUCCAUUACAACCUUAAGAAGAAAACGCAGUAUGGUUCCACCAAGAGAGGCGGGAGAGAGGUGGUACAACAGUACUCGUAGUGGUAUAAUAAAUAUUUCCAAAGCUGUAAUAUGGGUAGCAGUUCACUUCAUUAACAUUAACUAAAAUCUUGACUAAAACGUGGAAUUUCAAAUGGAAAAUGUAUGAGAAUCCUGUCAAAGGAGCACAGUCUGUUGUAUUUAGAGGCCUCUCUGUUCAUCUGGUGUGUUUGGCAGUAACAGCUGAAUAUUAAGACCGUACAUAUGUAGUUUCAGUAGUUGUUUGGUCCUUGAUAACUUUGAUAAUGCACACAUACCUGACAUCAACGCCAAGAAGACACAACACAGCACACGCCAUGUGAAAACAUCGAACGGACUCACAGUUAUUGCUGGAGAAUUAAGCAUCUCCACAUCUUUCUGGAGUCUUGAUGAAAGCAAUUGGUGCAAGGAAGCAAAGCGUUUCAUCAAAACCUGCCCUUGAUUCUCAGCAGCUCUGGAAAAAAUGCAAAGACGGUAUCCAUGUUGUGUUACACUGCACUGAUAGGGGGAAUGUUGAAUGAAAUUAUCAGUCACAGUUCUGAAAAGUGCCGUCCAUCUCAGCUGUCUUUGUAGCUCUAAUCGAGACUCCAAAGGCUCCAAUACGUUUAUCGUGAUCCGUCUUGACCUAAAAUAUUUGUAACUGCGUUCAGCUGAAAACAGCGACAGCAUCUAGUUAGAUUUCCCUGAAACUGAUCCAUGAAGGAUCAGUGUUUUUUAAGGUUAUUUUUCACCUGGAAGCCAAACUUUCACACCAUUUCCACCAUCUUUGACACAGCUUCUCAGAUAUUUCAUGUUGACUGAUUGAAGGCCAGAUCAGAAAUCAGUGAAUCCCAUCCUCCAGAGAUCCUUUGGCUUCCCAAAUCUUUACCGUGCGGUCACUGUCGAAAACAGAAAAGUAAAUCAGGUUAUGAAAAACAUGAUUAGAGUGCAGAAUUACCAAUGUGAUGUUUUGGGUCUUACUCUGAGGCAGUGAACAGUUGGCUGCUGUUGGAUGCCAGGCCGUUGAUGGGACUGUCGUGGCCCUGGAUCUCACCGAGGGGCGUUAGCGAGUCGGUGUGCCAGAGUCGCAGCAGGCCUCCUCUGCAGCCGCUGAGCAGCACCGAGGAUCCUGGUACCACGCCCAGAACGCUGACCCAGUCUGCCUGGGCGCUGACUGACUGUUGGACGAAACAGCAGCCAACAGUUGGUGUAAAGUUCGUUCUGAAUCUCAAGUUUUAACACUGAAUUCUGACACUCAAGACGCAUAUACUAAGUAUUGUCUUACCUGUAACAGCUGUUUACUCGCCAAGUCCCACUUUUUAAUGUAAUGGUCUCUGGAGCUGCUGUAGAAAGUAUCUCCAUGCACAGCUAAAGACUCCACGCCGUCCUGAUGGGCCGGGUCGAACGUAUGGCUGGAGGUGAUGCUGCCCUGAGCACCUUCUGCCACCUCAAACAUCUGGAAGAUCAGAGUAUUUGAUUAGGGAUGCAAUUUUCAUAAUUUUUACGUCCAUAUAACACCAAAAUGAGAUACUGUUUGGAGGCUUCCAACUUUAAUUCAAGCAGCUGAAGAAAAAAUAUUGAAUUCAACUAUUUUUUUCAUAGUCCGUCUCACUAAAAGUAAGAGAAAAAAAUGCAAAUCUUUAGCACUUGUUGGUUGCCCAUGGACGUCACCAAAUGCUAAGUUUCCUCUUUUGAGCUGCUUUUCGAGGUCUUUCUUGCAGCCACAUGUAGUUGCUGCUCGUUUGUGGGUCUUUCUGGCCUCGGUUUUCUUUGAUAAGUUAUUGAAGUUUCUUAAGAUGUACUUAAGAUUUAGAAGAAGCAAACAGGAGACGGUAAAUUAUGACAUAUGUGGACAUGUAUCAGGUAGAAGUUUAUAAGUUAAACAUCCUCCUCCUUGCUUUCAGACAUUAUUUACAGGUAUUGGGUUUCUUUUUCAUUUUGUGUGCUUUAUAUUCUCUUUUUGUUUAUGUAUUGUGGCAUUUCUGAAAUAAAUUGAUUCAAAAUAAUAAUAAAAGCAGCUAAGUUGG